rnacentral:snoRNA from 1 species
CCCCUCCAGAUUCCUUAGUGCCCAAACCUAAACAGUGCCUUCGGGGCUUAAAGAAAAAAGGAGGAAAGUGAACCUGAACUGGACUUGGAGUCUUGCAACAAACAAGUUCACUUCAAACAAUC